rnacentral:misc_RNA from 1 species
UAAUUAUUUAAUAAUAAUAGCAAUAAUAUUGUGGUUUGGUUCUUGGAUCCAACGUCAUCUUGCACAAAAUUACGUUGUCGAAUGUGUUCUAGAAGCUGACUGCACUGUGCAGAGUGAGGUAUCCAUACUCGAUAUUUCUCUCUCUUUUGUUAUGAAAAUAUGAAGCUCUUAAUUUAUCUUUAAACAAGCCAAUUUUCAACUCCUCGUUUUUAAUUUAUCAAAGCUUAGCUUAAAGCUUGAAUCUUUAAUUAUUUUCUUUCCUCUUUUCCUAUAAAGCCCAAUAGCCUGGAAUUCAGUUCACCGACACCCAAAUCUCACUAGUCUUAUUGCCAUGGCUUCUACCCUGCAGCUGCAAGCACCAUCCCACAUAGCCAUGGUGCCAACUCCGGGGAUGGGUCAUCUAAUUCCGAUGAUUGAGUUAGCCAAAAGACUCGUUCACCAACACAAUUUCUUAGUCACCUUCCUUGUGCCUAACGAUGGCUCGCCCAUGAAACCCCAAAGGCAACUUCUUCAAGCCUUACCCAAUACCAUAUCCUCCAUCUUUCUUUCUCCGGUUAGCUUUGAUGACCUCCCUCAGGAUGUUAAAAUGGAGACUCGGAUCGUACUUAGCUUGUCUCGCUCUCUUUCUGCACUCCGUGAAUCUUUUAAGGCUUUAACCGAGGCAUCUCCGGUUGUAGCUCUAGUUGUUGAUCUUUUCGGCACAGAUGCCAUCGAAAUCGCUAGAGAGUUCGAUGUUUUGCUCUAUAUUUUCUUUCCUACAACUGCCCUGGGAUUGUCUUUGGUUUUCCAUUUGCCUAAGCUUGAUGAAACAUACUCCGGUGAGUAUAGAGAUUUGCCUGAACCGCUAAAAUUUCCUGGGUGUGUGCCGGUUCACGGAAGAGAUCUCAUUGAGCCGGUUCAAAACAGAAAAGAUGAUGCUUACAGAUGGGUUCUUCACAUUUGCAAGCAAUACCCAUUGGCUGCUGGGAUCCUUGUUAAUAGUUUUAUAGAUCUGGAAGCAGGUGCUUUUAAGGCUUUAAUGGAGGAUAAAACCGGUACGCCCCCCAUAUACCCGGUUGGACCACUCACACGAACCGAUUCAACCAGUGAGGUUGCUGGUGAAUUUGAGUGCUUGAGGUGGUUGGAUAAGCAACCAAAUGGGUCAGUGCUCUUUGUCUCCUUUGGAAGUGGCGGGACCCUUUCUCAUGAUCAGUUGAUCGAAUUAGCCCUGGGUUUAGAGAUGAGUGGUCAGAGAUUUCUCUGGGUUGUUAAGAGCCCAGACGAUACAUCUGCAAAUGCAACUUACUUUGGUGUAGAAAAAGCUACUGAUCCUUUUGAUUUUUUACCAAAGGGAUUCUUGGAUAGGACCAAGGGGUUGGGUAUGGUGGUGCCCAAUUGGGCUCCUCAGAUGCAAGUCUUGAGCCACUGGUCAACAGGAGCGUUCUUGAGCCAUUGUGGGUGGAACUCUAGUUUGGAAAGCAUUGUAAAUGGAGUGCCCUUAAUUGCGUGGCCACUUUAUGCAGAGCAAAAAAUGAAUUGUGUGUUACUAGUUGAGGAUUUGAAGGUAGCAUUGAGGGUGAAAGUGAAUGACAAUGGGCUCGUGGGUAGAGAAGAUAUUGCAAAUUAUGCAAGGACCAUUCUUCAAGAGGAGGAAGGGAAAUUACUUGGGAAAAGGAUGAAAGAACUUAAAAAUGCUGCUGUAAAGGUUUUAAGCCAGGAUGGAUCUUCUACAAAGUCACUAGCCUAUGUAGCCAACAUAUGGAAGAACCAAAGAAAGUAACAUGUAUGUAUAAAUUGUUCUGCAUUUCUUUGCUUCAGUAAUUGGUUGUGUUCACGUAACUAGCUUAGGGUUCUUUAGGCUUCUUUUCAAGCAGCAAGUAGUUUGUACUUUGUAAAGCCUGAUGCUUUGAGUCUUGGCUACCGUUAGUUCUCGAUUUCGAAUUUUAAUCAAGUUGAAUAAAAUAAAAAUAGCUGGGCAUUAAUCGA